UUACUUACUUGGCAGGGGAGCCGCUCUUCUUCUCAGCCUUGAAUGACUCGGGAUAGUUAAAAGGUGAGGACCUGUCCCUUGCACUGUGGGCAGGCUGACUCCCGUGAGAGUCUACAAAUGCCUCCAAAUGCGAGGAUCUUGGCUACAUGAUGUGUGGGGAUGGGGGAUUGCUUUAGUGCUUUCCCUCU
rnacentral:snRNA from 12 species